UUUGUAGGAAUCCAUUUUUCUAAAAGAGCACCUUAUCCCCUUCUCUCUUAUUUUUUCUAACUCUCUCUUCCAUCCAUUGUUUUGAAAUAUUCUUACACAUCUCCUUUAAAUCUAAAAGUAUUGUCAUUCUACUUCUCAAAAAUAGAUGAGACUAACACCUUCCUCCUCUUUAUGUUGUCUCCCUUUUCCAUGAACAUUUGCUUCUCUGUUUUAGUCAUCUGUAUUUAGGAGACUUGAUUCAUCAUCAUCAAAAUAUUUAAGGGUGCAUCAUCUAGGUAUUUAAUUAAUUAGUUUCUACUGUAUUACCGUUUUUUUAUAUUUUUUUUAUUUGAUUGUGUUUAGAAUAUAG
rnacentral:lncRNA from 1 species